CAGCAUAUUGAAACAGUAUGAAUUUAUGGUGACAAAUAUUUCCCACAACUAUUAUCGUAAAAUGUACCCGUACUGUUGCCAUAUAAUAACUUUUUACAUAAUUACGAUACGCAGUUGAAGAAUCUACAGAUAAAUUAUUGUAAACUGACUAGAUAGCUAACUCUACGAGCAAAUCCCACGGAACUUAUAAAGUUAUAACUACACGGACCUCGCACAGAGAUAUAAAAUUU